AUUCCCGCUCACCUUAAACGUAUUGUAGUGAUCUUGCCUGCUGGCCGGUUUGACUUGGUGUUAUAAAUUAUAUCGCUAAGGACACUCUUUUGGGUGGCCGAUCGACAGCUUGAUCUUGCCUCAAAGUGCACAACACCUAGAGAGGCUACAACUUCUUGACAUCUGGCCUCAAAUCAGGUAGGACUACCCGCUGAACUUAA
rnacentral:misc_RNA from 1 species